CAGCCCUUGACAUGCCUCGGACGGUUACCAGAGAUGGUUUCUUCUCUUCGGGGCCGAGGACACAGGUGCUGCAUGGCUGUCGUCAGCUCGUGUCGUGAGAUGUUGGGUUAAGUCCCGCAACGAGCGCAACCCUCGCCCUUAGUUGCCAGCAUUAAGUUGGGAACUCUAAGGAGACCGCCGGUGACAAACCGGAGGAAGGUGGGGAUGACGUCAAGUCAUCAUGGCCUUUAUGGCCAGGGCUACACACGUGCUACAAUGGUAGAAACAGAGGGAAGCCAACGCGCGAGCGGGAGCCAAUCCCAGAAAAUCUAUCGUAGUCCGGAUCGGAGUCUGCAACUCGACUCCGUGAAGUCGGAAUCGCUAGUAAUCGCAGAUCAGCAUUGCUGCGGUGAAUACGUUCCC
rnacentral:rRNA from 1 species